AACCUCCGCAAUGUGAGAAAUCGCGACGGGGGGAUCCCAAGUGCCGUUCUUAACGGGAUGGCUUUUCAUUAGUGUAAAGAGCUUUUGGAAUAAGGGCUGGGCAAGACCGGUGCCAGCCGCCGCGGUAACACCGGCAGCUCUAGUGGUAGCAGUUUUUAUUGGGCCUAAAGCGUCCGUAGCCGGUUUAAUAAGUCUCUGGUGAAAUCCUGUAGCUUAACUGUGGGAAUAGCUGGAGAUACUAUUAGACUUGAGACCGGGAGAGGUUAGAGGUACUCCCAGGGUAGAGGUGAAAUUCUGUAAUCCUGGGAGGACCGCCUGUUGCGAAGGCGUCUAACUGGAACGGUUCUGACGGUGAGGGACGAAAGUUAGGGGCGCGAACCGGGAUUAGAUACCCGGGUAGUCCUAACUGUAAACGAUGCGGACUUGGUGUUGGGUGGCUUUGAGCUGCUCCAGUGCGAAGGGAAGCUGUUAAGUCCGCCGCCUGGGAAGUACGGUCGCAAGACUGAAACUUAAAGGAAUU
rnacentral:rRNA from 1 species